CUUCCAUUGAUGAAAGGCUUCGGCCACCAAAGGAUGAGCUCGCGCCCCAUUAGCUUGUUGGCGGGGUAACGGCCCACCAAGGCUACGAUGGGUAGCCGACCUGAGCGGGUGCUCCCACAUUUGGACUGAGUACGGUCGAUCUACGGAGCAGCAGUAGGAGUUUGCGCAUGCGAAGGCCUGACGCAGCCACGGCGCGUGGAGGAUGACAUUUUUCGGAAUGUAAACUCUUUGAGAGGGAGAAACGCCGAUUGGUCGGGCUGACGGUACCUCUGAAUAAGCCCCGGCUAACUUCGUGCAGCAGCCGCGGUAAUACGAGGGGGGCUAGUGUUGUUCGGAUUUACUGGGUGUAAAGGGAGUGUAGGCGGGUUCGUAAGUCAGGGGUGAAAUGCUCAUGCUUAACAUGGUGCACUGCCUUUGAAACUACGGGUCUUGAGUGUUGGAGAGGGCAACGGAAUUCCAGGUGUAGCGGUGGAAUGCGUAGAUAUCUGGAAGAACACCAGUUGCGAAGGCGGUUGCCUGGCCAAACACUGACGCUGAGCUCGAAAGCUGGGGGAGCAAACAGGAUUAGAUACCCUGUAGUCCCAGCCCUAAACGAUGGACACUAGGUGCAGGUGGAGCUAACCCCAUCUGUGCCGCAGCUAACGCAUUAAGUGUCCCACCUGGGAGUACGGUCGCAAGGCUGAAACUCAAAGAAUUGACGGGGCCCGCACAAGCGGUGGAGCAUGUGGUUCAAUUCGACGCACGCGAGACCUUACCUGGGCUUGACAUGGGGUGACCAUCUUCAGAGAUGAAGACUUCUGUAGCAAUACAGACCGCCUACCCAGGUGCUGCAUGGCUUUCUUCAGCUCUGUUGUGGGAUAUUGGGUUAAGUCCCGCAACGAGCGCCACCCCUUUCCUUAGUUGCCAUCAGGUCAAGCUGGGCCUCUAAGGAACUGCGGGUGACCAACCGGAAAGUGGUUAACUUAGUCUUUAUGCUUUAUUCCAGCACACAGGUCUAUAGUGCCUUUAACGUGUUGCAAUCCGGAGAGUGACAUCCCUAAUAGCUCAUUCGGAUUGGUUUCUUCAUCUUGAGUUGUUUAAGUUGGAAUCGCUAGUAAUCGCGGAUCAGCAUGCCGCGGUGAAUCCGUUCCCGGGCCUUGUACACACCGCCCGUCAAGCCAUGGAAGCCGGAUGUACCCAAAGUCGUUUGCCUAACCGCAAGGGGGGCGACGCCUAAGGUAAAGUCGGUGACUGGGGCUAAGUCGUAACAAGGUAACC
rnacentral:rRNA from 1 species